rnacentral:tRNA from 1 species
GGGGAUUUGGCUCAGUGGUUCUGCCGCCUGCCUUGCAAGCUCAAGGGCCUGAGUUCGAUUCUCAGUAUCCCCC